rnacentral:lncRNA from 1 species
GAACGGUCCACCAGUUUUCCUGCCUCGAUCAGCUGUUCCUGGCAUACUGGAGAGCUGAUGGUAGGACUCACAACCUUAGCACAAGCCACAAGCUGAGAAGUAGAGAGUGCACACUGUGUAGCAGCAGCAAUCACUCUGUUCUGCAGGACUGUAUCUUCAGCAACCUGUGCUACGUUCUUGGCCUUCAACACUAACAUAGCAGCAGCAUUUGCAACAGCUUUGGCCAGACUCAUCAGAACAUCCUGGAACCUUUCAUCUGUUUCAUUCUCUCCAAUCUG